UACGUAGGGGGCAAGCGUUGUCCGGAAUCAUUGGGCGUAAAGCGCGUGUAGGCGGCUUUGCAAGUCGGAUGUGAAAGCCCACGGCUCAACCGUGGAAGUGCAUCCGAAACUGCAUGGCUGGAGUCUCGGAGAGGAAGGUGGAAUGCUUGGUGUAGAGGUGAAAUUCGUAGAUAUCAAGCAGAACACCUGCGGCGAAGGCGGCCUUCUGGACGAUGACUGACGCUGAGACGCGAAAGCGUGGGGAGCAAACAGG
rnacentral:rRNA from 1 species